AUACUUACCUGGACGGGGUCUAUGAUUGAUCAUAAAGAAUCAUGGCCUAAAUUAGUGACUUUUAUUGCACUUGGAAGGAUCACUAGUUUAUCAUCUCCUCAAGUAGAGGAGAGUGGACGUCAUAAUUUAUGGCAGAGGGAUACGCGUUCGCGCGGUCCCUAG
rfam:Sorghum bicolor cultivar BTx623 chromosome 6, whole genome shotgun sequence.